rnacentral:rRNA from 1 species
GAUGAACGCUGGCGGCGUGCCUAAUACAUGCAAGUCGAGCGAACAGACGAUUAGCUUGCUCCUCUGACGUUAUCGGCUGACGUGUGAGUAACACGUGUAUAACCUACCUAUAAUACUGGGAUAACUUCGUGAAACCUUAUCUAAUACCGGAUAAUAUUUUUAACCUCAUUGUUCAAUAGUUAAUGACUGUUUUUCUGUCACUUAUAGAUUUAUCCGCUCGGCAUUAGCUAGUUGGUAAGGUAACGGCUUACCAAGGCAACGAUGCGUAGCCGACCUGAGAGGGUGAUCGGAAAAACUGGAACUGAGACACGGACAAGACUACUACGGGAGGAAGCAGUAGGGAAUAUUCCGAAAUGGGCGAAAGCAUGACGGAGCAAAGCCGCGUGAGUGAAGAAGGAAUUAGGAUAGUAAAACUAUGUUAUUAGGGAAGAAAAAAUGUGUAAGUAAAUAUGCACGGAUUGACGGUAACAAAUAAGAAAGCAACGGCUAACUACGUG